rnacentral:rRNA from 1 species
ACUCCUACGGGAGGCAGCAGUAGGGAAUCUUCCACAAUGGGCGAAAGCCUGAUGGAGCAACGCCGCGUGGGUGAAGAAGGUCUUCGGAUCGUAAAACCCUGUUGUUAGAGAAGAAAGUGCGUGAGAGUAACUGUUCACGUUUCGACGGUAUCUAACCAGAAAGCCACGGCUAACUACGUGCCAGCAGCCGCGGUUAAUACGUAGGUGGCAAGCGUUAUCCGGAUUUAUUGGGGCGUAAAAGGGAACGCAGGCGGUUCUUUUAAGUCUGAUGUGAAAGCCUUUCGGGCUUAACCGGAGUAGUGCAUUGGAAACUGGGAGACUUGAGUGCAGAAGAGGAGAGUGGAACUCCAUGUGUAGCGGUGAAAUGCGUAGAUAUAUGGAAGAACACCAGUGGCGAAAGCGGCUCUCU